GUCUUUUAGAAUAAAAAAAUUAAAAGUCUAAUCUGCCCUAUGAUUUAGUAAAUGGCCGCAGUAAACUGACUGUGCAAAGGUAGCAUAAUAAUUAGUCUUUUAAUUGAAGGCUUGUAUGAAUGAUUGAAUGAAAAAUUAUCUUUAUUAACAAAUUAAUUAAAAUUUAAUUUUCAAGUAAAAAAGCUUGAAUUAAUAAGUUGGACGAGAAGACCCUAUAGAGUUUAAAAUAUACAUAUAUAUAUAUAAAUAAAUAGAAUUAAUAAUAUAUAUAUGUGAAUAUUUUUUGUUGGGGUGACAUUAUAAAAAUAGUAACUUUUAAUAUAUUUUACAUUUAUUUAUGAAUAUUUGAUCCAAUUAUUUAAUAUUGAUUAAAAGAAUAAAUUACCUUAGGGAUAACAGCGUUAUUAUUUUUUAAAGUUCAUAUUAAUAAAAUAGUUUGCGACCUCGAUGUUGGAUUAAGAAAAUAUUCUGGAGCAGAAUCUAGAUUUCAUUGGUCUGUUCGACCCUUUAAUUCUU
rnacentral:rRNA from 1 species